CAAGAAUCGUAUCGGUGGUUAAUAUCCCCCGAUAUUUGACGGUACUACCAGAGGAAGCACCCGGCUAACUCCGUGCCAGCAGCCGCGGUAAUACGGAGGGUGCAAGCGUUGUUCGGAAUUACUGGGCGUAAAGCGCGUGUAGGCGGUCGGGCAAGUCAGAUGUGAAAGCCUUCCGCUUAACGGAAGAAGUGCAUUUGAAACUGCCCGGCUUGAGUACGGGAGAGGAGAGUGGAAUUCCCGGUGUAGAGGU
rnacentral:rRNA from 1 species